rfam:Clostridium amylolyticum strain DSM 21864 genome assembly, contig: Ga0131114_101
UUAGUCUUUAAAUCAGUCCUGUGAGACUGGCAAGAAAUUAUAUAUUAUCGUAAACGGAGAUAGUAUAGCUUCUUGCCUUUAGGGCAGAAGCUUUUUUUAAU